CCGGCACGGGUGAGUAACGCGUAUGCAACUUGCCUAUCAGGAGGGGAGAACCCGGCGAAAGUCGGACUAAUACCGCAUGAAGCAGGGAUCCCGCAUGGGAAUAUUUGCUAAAGAUUCAUCGCUGAUAGAUAGGCAUGCGUUCCAUUAGGCAGUUGGCGGGGUAACGGCCCACCAAACCGACGAUGGAUAGGGGUUCUGAGAGGAAGGUCCCCCACAUUGGUACUGAGACACGGACCAA
rnacentral:rRNA from 1 species